rnacentral:rRNA from 1 species
GACGAACGCUGGCGGCGUGCCUAAUACAUGCAAGUUGAGCGAUGAAGAUUGGUGCUUGCACCAAUUUGAAGAGCAGCGAACGGGUGAGUAACGCGUGGGGAAUCUGCCUUUGAGCGGGGGACAACAUUUGGAAACGAAUGCUAAUACCGCAUAACAACUUUAAACAUAAGUUUUAAGUUUGAAAGAUGCAAUUGCAUCACUCAAAGAUGAUCCCGCGUUGUAUUAGCUAGUUGGUGAGGUAAAGGCUCACCAAGGCGAUGAUACAUAGCCGACCUGAGAGGGUGGUCGGGCACAUUGGGACGGGGACAAGGCCCAAGAUCCUACGGGAGGCAGCAGGAGGGAAUCUUCGGCAAUGGAGGGAAGUCUGAACGAGCAACGCCGCGGGAGUGAAGAAGGGUGUCGGAUCGUAAAACUCGGUUGGUAGAGAAGAACGUUGGUGAGAGUGGAAAGCGCAUCAAGUGACGGUAACUACCCAGAAAGGGACGGCUAACUACGUG